GAGAUACUAGUAAAGUAUUACACUGCUUUGUCAAGGCAGAGGCGUGGGUUAAACCCCCACGUAUCUUG
rnacentral:tRNA from 1 species